rnacentral:lncRNA from 1 species
GUGUGUGGUUUAAUGAGACCAAACACACUACAUGCUCUAUACUGAAAACAGCAAUCAUAGCAUGCCAAGACCCUAACCGAGAAUAGAGAAAACCCAAGAACCCAAAUCCAUACCCAAAUUUAAGAUCCUGGCAGUUAAAAGAUAAACAGGAGCCACAACCAUACCCCAUAAAUGUUUCUCUUAACAAAAUGAAGACAGAACAAUACCAGUAACCAAAGGAAGAUGUUACCAGACACUGCCGAGGAUCCCUUAUUGAUGACAGAACCAAAACAUGCCAAAACUCCAAGUAAGAAUGACCCAGCCAACUGACACCAACAAUAUGAAGUG